AUGGAUGUUGUUGUUGUUGUUGUUGUUGGAAAAAUUGUGAAAAAUAGAGAUUUGAGGAUGGUUUAAUUAGUAGGAUUUUAUUAGCAUAAUUUUCAUAGUGUUGGAAUUUUGUGGGUGAAGAUUUGGUGAUUAUUGUUGUGUAGUUUUGGCCAAAAGAAAAAGAAAAGGAAGAAGAAAAGAAAUGGAUUUGUUUUUGGAAGAAAAGGAAAAUAAAGAAAAUUGUAAAAGUUGGAUUAAAUGAGGUUUUACUGUGGUAAAGUGGUAAAAAGUGAAGAAGGUGAAAGUAAAGGUAAAUUCGGUAAAAAGGAGGUAAAAGGUAAAAGUGAAAGUGUGGAGGUAAAAGUCAUGGUAAAAGUGAAAAGGUG
rnacentral:lncRNA from 1 species